ACAGGCAGUAGUUCAUUACCAAUGCUUCCCAAGUGGCUGACAGGGGUCUGGUUGCAUUGUCUGAGAUGCUUUAAGAGCGACUUCCUCAGGUCAGAGCUGUGAGGAAAUUAAGACUGUACAGUUUUUCAAUAACAGUGAAACCAACGUAGCAAACACGAAGAAAUCUGCAGAUGCUGGAAUUUCAAGCAACACACAAAAGUUGCUGGUGAACGCAGCGGGCCAGGCAGCAUCUAUAGGAAGAGGAAUGAUCUGGAGAAAAUGGGAGUACAGCCUGUGACAGGGCCUGUAACAAUGAUGGAUUGAAACAAUGCACAUCACCUAGACCAAGAACAGUCUAGACAGCAUGAUCUGUGUCAUAUACAAGGGGAAUGCACUCAAGUGUUAAUAGAUGGGGCUACUGAAGCAGCAGAAUAUGAAGUCUCUGACAUACCUAUCCAUUUAAUCUUCAGAAAAGGAAAAAGUGAGCAUUUUCCAAGUUUCUGGCUGUCAACAUCUCUGAAGAUCAACCCUGGCCCCAACAUAUUGAUGCUAUGGCAAAGAUAGCACAUCAGCAGCUACAUUUCCUUUGGACUUGAAGAGAUUUGUUAUUGAACUUGAAGAUUCUAGUCAAUUUCUGCAGACAAACCGUGGAGAGCAUAGCAAGUGGUUGAUUCAUUGUCUGGUAUUGGGGAGGGGCAUGAGGGGAGCACUGCACAGGAUCAGGGAAAAAGCUUCAGUGUUGUAAAUUCUGCCAGUUCCAUCAUGGGCACUGGUUUCCCCAACAUAAAGGACAUUUUCAAAAGGCAAUGCCUCAAAAAGACAACAUCCAUCAUUAAGGAAACCCAUCACCCAGGGCACGCUACCAUCAGGGAGGAGGUACAGGAACCUAAAGAGAGAUUCAACAUUUCAGGAACAAAUUCCCCUCCUUUACCAGAUCUCUGAAUGGAAAUGCACUCAUCCUCACUAUUUCUGAUCUCUAUUUACACUGUAUGCAUGCAGUACUGUGAGUAGCCAGUGAGCCCAAGACUUUUGCACAGUCCUGUACUGUAGUAAUUUUAUGUAUUGCAUGUUAAUGCUGCCGCACAAAAAAAAAUAAAUUUCAUACAUAUGUGAAUGAUGAUAAACCCACAUGUGACUGAUGGGUCUCCACUGUGGAGUGAGUGUGGGAAGAGCGUUGGGAGAAGGGAAUCAUGAUUGGGAAAAUUGGAAGGGAGGGGAAGGGAGCAGGCAGCACCAGAGAAACAUCAAUGAACCAAUUGUUUGGAAUCGAGUAACCUUGCCUGGUGUUUCACAGCUGGGUGUGUCUGCACAUGCAUCAUCCAUCAUCCUUGGCACUUCUUCGCUGCCACCUGUCUCACACUCCACCCAAUGCUCGACCCUCACCAUUCCCAACACCCUUCGCUCCCACCAGGUUUACAAACUUACUCUCUGCUCCACAUUGACAAAUACAGUACCAUGCUGAAGUCUUAGGCACCCAGCUAUAUGUAUCUAAGACUUUUGCAUAGUAAUAUGUAAAAUCAUGAUUUAUAGUUUGUUUUUAUCAAUUGCUCUGUACUGCUGCAACAAAAACAAAUUGAACAGCAUA